rnacentral:rRNA from 1 species
GACGAACGCUGGCGGCGUGCUUAACACAUGCAAGUCAAGGGGGCCCAGUAGCAAUACUGGGCAACCGGCGAACGGGUGCGUAACACGUGAGCAACCUACCGAAAUGUGGGGGAUAGCCGGCCUAACGGCCGAGUAAUACCGCAUACGCUCUCGAUGAGGCAUUUCAUUGAGAGGAAACCUACGGGACAUUUCGAGGGGCUCGCGGCCUAUCAGCUAGUUGGCGAGGAACGGCUCACCAAGGCAACGACGGGUAGCUGGUCUGAGAGGAUGGCCAGCCACAUUGGGACUGAGACACGGCCCAGACUCCUACGGGAGGCAGCAGUAGGGAAUCUUGCACAAUGGACGAAAGUCUGAUGCAGCGACGCCGCGUGAGGGAUGACGGCCU